GUCCAGACUCCUACGGGAGGCAGCAGUGGGGAAUAUUGCACAAUGGGGGGAACCCUGAUGCAGCGACGCCGCGUGAGUGAAGAAGUAUUUCGGUAUGUAAAGCUCUCUCAGCAGGGACGAAGAUGACGGUACCUGCAGAAGAAGCCCCGGCUAACUACGUGCCAGCAGCCGCGGUAAUACGUAGGGGGCAAGCGUUAUCCGGAUUUACUGGGUGUAAAGGGGGCGCAGACGGCGAUGCAAGCCAGGAGUGAAAGCCCGGGGCCCAACCCCGGGACUGCUCUUGGAACUGCGUGGCUGGAGUGCAGGAGGGGCAGGCGGAAUUCCUGGUGUAGCGGUGAAAUGCGUAGAUAUCAGGAGGAACACCGGUGGCGAAGGCGGCCUGCUGGACUGCAACUGACGUUGAGGCCCGAAAGCGUGGGGAGCAAACAGGAUUAGAUACCCCGGUAACC
rnacentral:rRNA from 1 species